rnacentral:rRNA from 1 species
GAUGAACGCUGGCGGCGUGCCUAACACAUGCAAGUCGAGCGAAAAGACGAGGAGCUUGCUCCUCUGACGUUAGCGGCGGACGGGAGAGUAACACGUGGAUACCCUACCUAUAAGACUGGGAUCACUUCGGGAAACCGGAGCUAAUACCGGAUAAUAUAUUGAACCGCAUGGUUCAAUAGUGAAAGACUGUUUUGCUGUCACUGAUAGAUGGAUCCGCGCCGCAUUAGCUAGUUGGUCAGGUAACGGCUUACCAAGGCGACGAUGCGUAGCCGACCUGAGAGGGGGAUCGGCCACACUGGAACUGAGACACGGUCCAGACUCCUACGGGAGGCAGCAGUAGGGAAUCUUGGGCAAUGGGCGAAAGCCUGACGGAGCAACGCCGCGUGAGUGAUGAAGGUCUUCGGGUCGUAAAACUCUGUUAUUCGGGAAGAACAAAUGUGUACGUAACUAUGGACGUCUUGACGGUACCGAAUGAAAAAGCACCGGCUAACUACGUG